AAUCCAUAGGUUAAUGAGGCGAACCGGGGGAACUGAAACAUCUAAGUACCCCGAGGAAAAGAAAUCAACCGAGAUUCCCCCAGUAGCGGCGAGCGAACGGGGAGGAGCCCAGAGCCUGAAUCAGCAUGUGUGUUAGUGGAAGCGUCUGGAAAGGCGCGCGAUACAGGGUGACAGCCCCGUACACAAAAGCGCAUGUGCUGUGAGCUCGAUGAGUAGGGCGGGACACGUGGUAUCCUGUCUGAAUAUGGGGGGACCAUCCUCCAAGGCUAAAUACUCCUGACUGACCGAUAGUGAACCAGUACCGUGAGGGAAAGGCGAAAAGAACCCCGGCGAGGGGAGUGAAAAAGAACCUGAAACCGUGUACGUACAAGCAGUGGGAGCACCCUUUGGGUGUGACUGCGUACCUUUUGUAUAAUGGGUCAGCGACUUAUAUUCUGUAGCAAGGUUAACCGAAUAGGGGAGCCGGAGGGAAACCGAGUCUUAACCGGGCGUUAAGUUGCAGGGUAUAGACCCGAAACCCGGUGAUCUAGCCAUGGGCAGGUUGAAGGUUGGGUAACACUAACUGGAGGACCGAACCGACUAAUGUUGAAAAAUUAGCGGAUGACCUGUGGCUGGGGGUGAAAGGCCAAUCAAACCGGGAGAUAGCUGGUUCUCCCCGAAAGCUAUUUAGGUAGCGCCUCGUGAAUUCAUCUCCGGGGGUAGAGCACUGUUUCGGCUAGGGGGCCAUCCCGGCUUACCAACCCGAUGCAAACUGCGAAUACCGGAGAAUGUUAUCACGGGAGACACACGGCGGGUGCUAACGUCCGUCGUGAAGAGGGAAACAACCCAGACCGCCAGCUAAGGUCCCAAAGUCAUGGUUAAGUGGGAAACGAUGUGGGAAGGCCCAGACAGCCAGGAUGUUGGCUUAGAAGCAGCCAUCAUUUAAAGAAAGCGUAAUAGCUCACUGGUCGAGUCGGCCUGCGCGGAAGAUGUAACGGGGCUAAACCAUGCACCGAAGCUGCGGCAGCGACACUGUGUGUUGUUGGGUAGGGGAGCGUUCUGUAAGCCUGUGAAGGUGUGUCGUGAGGCAUGCUGGAGGUAUCAGAAGUGCGAAUGCUGACAUAAGUAACGAUAAAGCGGGUGAAAAGCCCGCUCGCCGGAAGACCAAGGGUUCCUGUCCAACGUUAAUCGGGGCAGGGUGAGUCGACCCCUAAGGCGAGGCCGAAAGGCGUAGUCGAUGGGAAACGGGUUAAUAUUCCCGUACUUGGUGUUACUGCGAAGGGGGGACGGAGAAGGCUAUGUUGGCCGGGCGACGGUUGUCC
rnacentral:rRNA from 1 species